AGGACGAACGCUGGCGGCGUGCUUAACACAUGCAAGUCGAACGGAAAGGCCCCUUCGGGGGUACUCGAGUGGCGAACGGGUGAGUAACACGUGGGCAACCUGCCCCUAGCUCUGGGAUAACUCCGGGAAACCGGUGCUAAUACCGGAUACAUACCGAUGCGGGCAUCCGCGACGGUUGAAAGUUUUUCGGCUAGGGAUGGGCCCGCGGCCUAUCAGCUUGUUGGUGGGGUAAUGGCCUACCAAGGCGACGACGGGUAG
rnacentral:rRNA from 1 species